CGUUCCCGGGUCUUGUACACACCGCCCGUCACACCACGAAAGUCGGCAACACCCGAAGCCGGUGGCCUAACCCGCAAGGGAGGGAGCCGUCGAAGGUGGGGCUGGCGAUUGGGGGUG
rnacentral:rRNA from 1 species